rnacentral:rRNA from 1 species
UACAGAGGUCUCAACCGUUGUUCGGAUUCAUUGGGCGUAAAGGGUGCGUAGGCGGUCGCGUAAGUCAGGUGUGAAAUCUCAGGGCUCAACCCUGAAACUGCACUUGAUACUGCGUGGCUCGGGUACUGGAGAGGAGACUGGAAUUUACGGUGUAGCAGUGAAAUGCGUAGAUAUCGGGAGGAACACCUGUGGCGAAAGCGGCGCACUGGACCACAACUGACGCUGAGGCGCGAAAGCUAGGGGAGCAAACAGG